rnacentral:rRNA from 1 species
AACAGGAUUAGAUACCCUGGUAGUCCACGCCGUAAACGAUGUCGACUUGGAGGUUGUUCCCUUGAGGAGUGGCUUCCGGAGCUAACGCGUUAAGUCGACCGCCUGGGGAGUACGGCCGCAAGGUUAAAACUCAAAUGAAUUGACGGGGGCCCGCACAAGCGGUGGAGCAUGUGGUUUAAUUCGAUGCAACGCGAAGAACCUUACCUACUCUUGACAUCCAGAGAACUUAGCAGAGAUGCUUUGGUGCCUUCGGGAACUCUGAGACAGGUGCUGCAUGGCUGUCGUCAGCUCGUGUUGUGAAAUGUUGGGUUAAGUCCCGCAACGAGCGCAACCCUUAUCCUUUGUUGCCAGCGGUUAGGCCGGGAACUCAAAGGAGACUGCCAGUGAUAAACUGGAGGAAGGUGGGGAUGACGUCAAGUCAUCAUGGCCCUUACGAGUAGGGCUACACACGUGCUACAAUGGCGCAUACAAAGAGAAGCGACCUCGCGAGAGCAAGCAGACCUCAUAAAGUGCGUCGUAGUCCGGAUUGGAGUCUGCAACUCGACUCCAUGAAGUCGGAAUCGCUAGUAAUCGUGGAUCAGAAUGCCACGGUGAAUACGUUCCCGGGCCUUGUACACACCGCCCGUCACACCAUGGGAGUGGGUUGCAAAAGAAGUAGGUAGCUUAACCUUCGGGAGGGCGCUUACCACUUUGUGAUUCAUGACUGGGGUGAAGUCGUAACAAGGUAACC